rnacentral:rRNA from 1 species
AUUGAACGCUGGCGGCAGGCUUAACACAUGCAAGUCGAGCGAGCGGCGGACGGGUGAGUAAUGUCUGGGAAACUGACUGAUGGAGGGGGAUAACUACUGGAAACGGUAGCUAAUACCGCAUACCAUCAGAUGUGCCCCGAUGGGCGUAGCUAGUAGGGGGGGUAAUGGAUAACCUAGGCGACUAUCCCUAGCUGGUCUGAGAGGAUGACCACCCACAUUGGAACUGAGACACGUACCAUACUCCGACGGGAGGCAUCAGUGGGGAAUAUUGCACAAGGGGCGCAAGCGUGCUGCAGCCAUGCCGCGUGUGUGAAGAAGGCCGUCGGGUUGUAAAGCACUUUCAGCGAGGAGGCGUUACUCGCAGAAGAAGCACCGGCUAACUCCGUGCCAGCAGCCGCGGUAAUAC